rnacentral:rRNA from 1 species
GGAUAUUGGUCAAUGGGGGAAACCCUGAACCAGCAACGCCGCGUGAGGGAAGACGGUUUUCGGAUUGUAAACCUCUGUCCUCUGUGAAGAUGAUGACGGUAGCAGAGGAGGAAGCUCCGGCUAACUACGUGCCAGCAGCCGCGGUAAUACGUAGGGAGCAAGCGUUGUCCGGAUUUACUGGGUGUAAAGGGUGCGUAGGCGGCUUUGCAAGUCAGAAGUGAAAUCCAUGGGCUUAACCCAUGAACUGCUUUUGAAACUGCAGAGCUUGAGUGGAGUAGAGGUAGGCGGAAUUCCCGGUGUAGCGGUGAAAUGCGUAGAGAUCGGGAGGAACACCAGUGGCGAAGGCGGCCUGCUGGGCUCUAACUGACGCUGAGGCACGAAAGCGUGGGUAGCAAACAGGAUUAGAUACCCUGGUAGUCCACGCUGUAAACGAUGAUUACUAGGUGUGGGUGGACUGACCCCAUCC